rnacentral:rRNA from 1 species
CCUACGGGAGGCUGCAGUGGGGAAUAUUGGACAAUGGGGGGAACCCUGAUCCAGCCAUGCCGCGUGUGUGAAGAAGGCCCUCGGGUUGUAAAGCACUUUCAGUGAGGAAGAACGCCUGGUGGUUAAUACCCAUCAGGAAAGACAUCACUCACAGAAGAAGCACCGACUAACUCCGUGCCAGCAGCCGCGGUAAUACGGAGGGUGCGAGCGUUAAUCGGAAUUACUGGGCGUAAAGCGCGCGUAGGUGGCUUGAUAAGCCGGUUGUGAAAGCCCCGGGCUCAACCUGGGAACGGCAUCCGGAACUGUCAAGCUAGAGUGCAGGAGAGGAAGGUAGAAUUCCCGGUGUAGCGGUGAAAUGCGUAGAGAUCGGGAGGAAUACCAGUGGCGAAGGCGGCCUUCUGGACUGACACUGACACUGAGGUGCGAAAGCGUGGGUAGCAAACAGGAUUAGAUACCCCAGUAGUC